GUGCUGUGGUCGCCUAGUAAAAGGGGCUGCUGGUGGGCCGCGUCGAAGACAUGGACCAGGGCUACGGAGCUCCUUCCGCUUCCAGCCGUUCGAGUCCUACGACUCCAGGCCCUGCCUGCCGGAGCACAACCCCUACCGCCCCAGCUACAGCUACGACUAUGAGUUCGACCUGGGGUCCGACCGCAAUGGCAGCUUUGGGGGGCAGUACAGUGAAUGCCGAGACCCGGCCCGGGAGCGGGGCUCCCUUGAUGGCUUCAUGCGGGGCCGGGGCCAGGGCCGCUUCCAGGACCGGAGCAACCCUGGCACCUUCAUGCGCAGCGACCCCUUCGUGCCCCCCGCUGCGUCCUCUGAGCCCCUGUCCACGCCCUGGAACGAGCUGAACUACGUGGGUGGACGGGGCCUGGGAGGGCCCUCCCCCAGCCGGCCACCUCCGUCCCUCUUCUCCCAGUCCAUGGCUCCCGACUACGGCGUGAUGGGCAUGCAGGGGGCGGGCGGCUAUGACAGCACCAUGCCCUACGGAUGUGGCCGCUCGCAGCCUCGGAUGCGGGAUCGGGAUCGGCCCAAGAGGAGAGGGUUUGACCGCUUCGGACCAGAUGGCACGGGCAGGAAACGGAAGCAGUUCCAACUUUACGAGGAGCCAGACACCAAACUGGCCCGGGUUGACAGUGAAGGAGAUUUCUCCGAAAAUGAUGACGCAGCUGGUGACUUCCGCUCAGGAGAUGAAGAAUUCAAGGGUGAGGAUGAAUUCUGCGACUCUGGGAGGCAAAGAGGAGAGAAGGAGGACGAGGACGAGGAUGUGAAGAAGAGAAGGGAAAAGCAAAGGAGAAGAGACAGGACGCGGGACCGUGCAGCCGACAGAAUUCAGUUUGCCUGUUCUGUAUGCAAGUUCCGUAGCUUUGAUGACGAAGAGAUCCAGAAGCAUCUGCAAAGCAAAUUUCACAAAGAGACCCUGCGGUUCAUAAGCACCAAGCUGCCCGACAAGACCGUGGAGUUCCUCCAGGAAUACAUUGUAAACAGAAAUAAGAAAAUUGAGAAGCGGCGUCAGGAAUUGAUGGAGAAAGAAACCGCGAAACCAAAACCAGAUCCUUUCAAAGGUGAGUUGUGAUCCCAGGAUGAGUGCUUUCCUGGAUGGUAGUAAGGCAUGUGACAGGGCCCGUAAAACAUGGCACGAGGCCGGGCACGGUGGCUCACGCCUGUAAUCCCAGCACUUUGGGAGGCUGAGGCAGGCGGAUCAUGAGGUCAGGAGAUCGAGGCCAUCCUGUCUGACACGGUGAAACCCCGUCUCUACUAAAAAAAUACAAAAAAUUAGCCGGGUGUGGUAGCGGGCACCUGUAGUCCCAGCUACUUGGG
rnacentral:sRNA from 1 species